AAGCUUUUGCAUGGGGUCAAAAGGGCGGAGAGGCUUAGGCCUCGAAGCCCUAGUCAAGCUGGUCGUCGGCCUGCUGGGUCCCGCUUUUGCGAGGGGCCUGGCUCAAAGGCGGUGCAAGCAAUCAGCUGGCGAGACAACCUGGUACGAGGGAAAGUUCUCCUAUCACAAGGCCUAGCCCUGCCUCCUCCCCCCCUUAGCUGGGGGGGAAAGGCAGGGAAGCCUUGGGGGGGCCUAUCUCGUGGCGAGCCUAGCCUAGCAGCAGGGCCGUCGUAACGCGCGCAAAGGUGUCGGUCUAGGGGCUUCACUGCCCCUAGGCUUAAGGAACGUGCUAUCCCCGUGCGACGCAGCAAUGCCGAGCACGCCUGGCUGCAGAGGACUUGCACUCUGAAGCAGCCGGGAGCCCUCUAUAGCUCCCCCCCGCCGAAGCGCCCUGCCUUAGCGCAGGGCUCAGUAAAGCAGAGGGGGGGGGGCACCAGGGGGGCUGGUCCGGGAG
rnacentral:ribozyme from 1 species